rnacentral:lncRNA from 1 species
AGAAGCCCUACGGGGCCCACCAGCUGGGUGCUCCUUGAAAAUGACCACAAGCCAUGGGGCCUUCUGAACAGGCGCCUGUCCUGAGCGGUUCCUCCAGAACCUUCUGUGCUUCCACAUCAGGAAGUUCCCUUUCAGAGCCUGACGGAACCCUUCCCCGUGACGCAGAAACAGGAGGAAGGGGUGUUGAAUGAGUGAGUUGGUCAUGGCUGAGCUGGGGCCUCAGGGACCGGGAGGGCGCUGACCAGACCCGCAGUGUAUUCAGCCAAUGGCAGUGACAGCCCAUCACCCAGUCUGUCAGCAUGUCUCCCCUCCAUGAAACGUGUCCCGAGGCUCUGCCUGCUUCCUAACCGUUCAGGAGCCUCAGAU